UACGAAGGGGGGCUAGCGUUGCUCGGAAUUACUGGGCGUAAAGGGCGCGUAGGCGGCGACUCUAGUCAGAUGUGAAAGUCCUGGGCUUAACCUGGGGACUGCAUUUGAUACUGGGUUGCUUGAAUUCGGGAGAGGAUAGCGGAAUUCCCAGUGUAGAGGUGAAAUUCGUAGAUAUUGGGAAGAACACCGGUGGCGAAGGCGGCUAUCUGGACCGGUAUUGACGCUGAGGUGCGAAAGCGUGGGGAGCAAACAGG
rnacentral:rRNA from 1 species